AGAACUAUAGUAUUUUUAAUAUUUUUGAUUGCAGAUCUAAAGAUUUUUUGUUCUU
rnacentral:tRNA from 1 species